rnacentral:rRNA from 1 species
UACGUAGGGCGCAAGCGUUGUCCGGAAUUAUUGGGCGUAAAGAGCUCGUAGGCGGCCUGUUGCGUCCGCUGUGAAAUCCCGGGGCUCAACCCUGAGCCUGCAGUGGGUACGGGCAGACUAGAGUGUGGUAGGGGAGAUCGGAAUUCCUGGUGUAGCGGUGAAAUGCGCAGAUAUCAGGAGGAACACCAAUGGCGAAGGCAGCUCGCUGGGACGUGACUGACGCUGAGACGCGAAAGCGUGGGGAGCAAACAGG